GUACGUAGGGGCUAGCGUUAUCCGGAAUUACUGGGCGUAAAGGGUGCGUAGGUGGUUUCUUAAGUCAGAGGUGAAAGGCUACGGCUCAACCGUAGUAAGCCUUUGAAACUGAGAAACUUGAGUGCAGGAGAGGAGAGUGGAAUUCCUAGUGUAGCGGUGAAAUGCGUAGAUAUUAGGAGGAACACCAGUAGCGAAGGCGGCUCUCUGGACUGUAACUGACGCUGAGGCACGAAAGCGUGGGGAGCAAACAGGAUUAGAUACCCUGGUAGUCCCUGA
rnacentral:rRNA from 1 species